CCAGACAGAAUCUUGACAUCUCAUCUUGUCAAUAGCAAAGUCACUUUCUGUCUUUGAAUUAAGAAUAAUUUAAUUUUAAAAAAUGUUAUUGAUCUGUUCCAAAAUAUAAUGAGAAAAAUGCUUACUUUACAUAGUCAUUUACUAAAGUCUAGUUGUGACUAUUUUUAUCUUAUGGUGAAUAUUUUGCUUACAAUACACGUAAGUGAGCAUGGUACCCUUGAAGGCCAGAAGACAGUGCUGGAUCCCUUGGAGCGGAAGCUGUGAACCACUGUGUGAACGCUGUGAACUGACCACAAACACCUCUCUUCACACCUUUGUGACUACUUUUAAAAAUUCAUCCUGCUUUAGAAUUUAUCUGUAUUCUGCCAUGCCAGCUGCUAAUUGACUUUGUGUUUGUUUUUGGCUUUUAACUUUUUUACGACUUUGAUUAUCAGUUUUAAUUGUGUGUAGGAAUAUAUGGUUGUGUAGGGAUAUGUGUGCCUGCAGAUGCUAGUAGAAGAGGUGUGGGGUCCACCAGAGUAGAUGGAUGAUGUAAACCGCCUGAAGUGGAUGCCAGGAACUGAACUUGGAUCUUCUGCAAGAGUAGCAACUGCCUUAAUCAAUGACUAUCUGUUCAACUCCAACUUUGCGUUUUUAUCUGUAUGGUGUCAGGGUAAACUAGCGUGUAAGGAGUCUUGGCCUCGUGCCAAGAAUUGUUCUAAUCUGAUUGUUUUAUGUGCAUUAACUAAGCUAGUGCAAGGAUCCAGUGAAGUGCAUGUGAUAACUCCAUUUACAGCUCAGUUACUGAAGCACAGACUGAAGCAACCUUCUCAAAGCCACUCAUCUGGCGCAUGACAUAAUACAGAUUGAACCCAGGCGGUUUGGGGCCAGAGUCUGUG
rnacentral:lncRNA from 1 species